GGAGCCAAGUGGGGAGCCUCUCUCUGGGAGGCAGGUGUAACACACGUGGAGUCUGAACCCUGAAAUUCUGGCUCAGCUGAGCGAUCCUGCAGAAGCAACUUAACCUCCGUACCUCCGAUUCUGCAUCUAUAAAAUAAAGAAGGCAGCUUCUGAAGAAUUACACAGAAAUGCUCACAGCAGAGCACCACGGAGAAUGUCAAAUCAUCUGUACAGCCUAAUCCUUUUGAGUUCUAAGAAGAUGUGCAUAGAAAUCAAGAACUAAAAUAAAAUAUGCCGAAACAGUAACAGAAGCUGUCCUUGGGAUCAUGGGCCGUUUUUAUUUUCUUCUUCCUAUUUCUCUGUUCAAGCGCAGCAUACGAUCAAUUCCUGUAACAAUUGCUCUAGAGUCAUCAACGAGAACGUUUAAGCAAAAAUAAAAGCCCAGUUUCUGGUUUUCCUGAC